rnacentral:tRNA from 1 species
UGCUGGUGUUGUGUACUCAGGUGAAUAAUAUGUUUGCGAUGUUACUCUGAGUGCAUAUCCACACCGGGCGAGCUUGAAAAGUAUGCCCGGCCACGGUGGGAUUCGAACCUACGACCUCUGGAAUACUAGCCCAAUGCUCUUCCAACUGAGCUACGCGGUCAGGACGGUUCGAGUAAGUGAUAUUUCGGAACAGUAUCUAGUUCCUUCAAUACCAAUGUGUUCUAGUAAUAUGAAUUUUCUGUGCUGGUGUAGCAUACUCAGGUGAAUAAUAUGUUUGCGAUGUUACUCUGAGUGCAUAUCCACAUCGGGCGAGCUUGAAAAGUAUGCCCGGCCACGGUGGGAUUCGAACCU